UUACACGAUUUCAAUACAAACAUCAGUCACAAAAGCCCUCCAGAGAUAUGUUUCCAUACAUCAUAAUCUUACAUCUUUUAACAGAGUUUAAGAAUACAAUAUUCGCAUCUUCUGAAGUGGCCUAUCCAUGAUUACACGCUGUUAUUAUUUAGAGAUGAAGAAGUUAUUGAAAUUAAUUGCUUUUUAUUGAAUUCAAAUACGAUUUUAUAUGACAUCGCACACUCUAACUGCUUCAAAUUUUCUAUUCAGUUUCUAAAUUUCAUGUACGAUGCUGUAUGUACUGGCGACAAUGAGAAGUUGUAAGCAUAAAGUUGUUGGUUUGUAUAAGUUAUUAGAGGCUUGCGAUGUAGUUGAAGGGCACGAAAUGGAAAGGACCUGUGAUAGACCCUUGAGAAUCGAUGGCUUCAAUAGCGUUCCAUGGUGAUCGGCGUUUAUCACGCGUGGCUAUUUACUUUUACUGUGUAUAGGGUUUAAUAGCAAGUAAUUUUCCGAAAUAAAAAUUUGACCAGCGUGAAAUAGUUGUAUAGUAAUGAACCAAUGCAUAAUAAUAAGUGAAAAGCUUAUGUGUUUUGUUUUAUUAUAUGUGUUAUUUUAUCAGAUUUCCGCUGGCAAAAGAAGUAGUAGGAUUCCCAUCGGCAGAAGAGCUGAUGAGGCGUGCACGUAAAAGAAUUGUACCACCCCAACCACAAUCACUACAAGAGUUUGACGAGAUGAUGAUUCUUGAUCAGUGGAAAAUUUGGGGGAAGUCUCUAAGUGGUGAACGGUUUUUUCUUAAAACCAUUGUUUCCACCGAUGGUGGGGUGGCCGCUUUAUUUGUCUCACCACAUUUCAAGGAUUUGCUAGGUACAGAAAAUUCUAACGUUCAGGCUGAUGGCACUUUCAAGUCUGUGCCUCUUCAUCCUAGAAGCGAACAACUAUUUACCCUGCACGUGGUAGAUACUGAAAGGCAUGGAGGACUUCAAAAUCAGAUAUACCCUGCAGCUUACGCACUUAUGACGAGAAGGACAACUGAAGCGUACGAAGCCGUUUUACGAGGUUUAAUCGAAGAAGUGCCAACAUUUAAGCCAGCAACUUUAAUGAGCGACUUCGAACCCGCAUUGCGCUCUGCCUUUCGACGUGUUUUUCCAAAUGUAUCAGUGAAAGGAUGUUGGUUUCACUACGCCCAGGCAAUUUUUCGACGCGCGCAACAACUGGGAAUGGCGAGAACCAUCCGCUCUGAAACUGGAGAAACGGCUUUGAAGAUGCUUAUGGCCUUACCGUUACUACCCACAGACAAAAUUAUAUCUGGAGUACAAACAGUGGAAGAAUAUUUGCUGCAG